CUUGCUUCUUUGCUGACGAGUGGCGGACGGGUGAGUAAUGUCUGGGAAACUGCCUGAUGGAGGGGGAUAACUACUGGAAACGGUAGCUAAUACCGCAUAACGUCGCAAGACCAAAGAGGGGGACCUUCGGGCCUCUUGCCAUCGGAUGUGCCCAGAUGGGAUUAGCUAGUAGGUGGGGUAACGGCUCACCUAGGCGACGAUCCCUAGCUGGUCUGAGAGGAUGACCAGCCACACUGGAACUGAGACACGGUCCAGACUCCUACGGGAGGCAGCAGUGGGGAAUAUUGCACAAUGGGCGCAAGCCUGAUGCAGCCAUGCCGCGUGUAUGAAGAAGGCCUUCGGGUUGUAAAGUACUUUCAGCGGGGAGGAAGGGAGUAAAGUUAAUACCUUUGCUCAUUGACGUUACCCGCAGAAGAAGCACCGGCUAACUCCGUGCCAGCAGCCGCGGUAAUACGGAGGGUGCAAGCGUUAAUCGGAAUUACUGGGCGUAAAGCGCACGCAGGCGGUUUGUUAAGUCAGAUGUGAAAUCCCCGGGCUCAACCUGGGAACUGCAUCUGAUACUGGCAAGCUUGAGUCUCGUAGAGGGGGGUAGAAUUCCAGGUGUAGCGGUGAAAUGCGUAGAGAUCUGGAGGAAUACCGGUGGCGAA
rnacentral:rRNA from 1 species